UGGGGAAUAUUGCACAAUGGGGGAAACCCUGAUGCAGCGACGCCGCGUGAACGAAGAAGGUAUUCGUAUCGUAAAGUUCUGUCCUAUGGGAAGAUAAUGACAGUACCAUAGAAGAAAGCUCCGGCUAAAUACGUGCCAGCAGCCGCGGUAAUACGUAUGGAGCGAGCGUUGUCCGGAAUUAUUGGGCGUAAAGGGUACGCAGGCGGUUUAAUAAGUCGAAUGUUAAAGAUCGGGGCUCAACCCCGCAAAGCAUUGGAAACUGAUAAACUUGAGUAGUGGAGAGGAAAGUAGAAUUCCUAGUGUAGUGGUGAAAUACGUAGAUAUUAGGAGGAAUACCAGUAGCGAAGGCGACUUUCUGGACACAAACUGACGCUGAGGUACGAAAGCGUAGGGAGCAAACAGG
rnacentral:rRNA from 1 species